rnacentral:rRNA from 1 species
ACCCGCUGAAUUUAAGCAUACAAGUAGGUGAUUGAUGAGAGACUAACAAGAAUAUCCUGAGUAAUGGUGAAUGUACUGGAGCAGGCUCAAUGUUGAAGUUGGGGCAUCUGUCCCUGAAGUGCAGUCUUGAGGUGUUCAACCAGUGGAGGUGCAAACGUAGGCCUUUGGAAAAAUGCAUUGAUGAGGGUGAAACUCCGGUGUGUCAUUUGCAGCCCUCAGUGCAUAGUGUGCAAUCUAUGAGUUGUGUUCCUUGGGCUUGGUGCGUGAAGUAGGUGGUCAAUUUCAUUUAAAGCUGGUCAGGCCUCCGAGACCAAUAGCAAACAAGUACAAUGAUGGAAUGGUGAAGCAGGACUUUGUAAAGAGAGAUAAUUAUGCCUUCACUUGCUGCAAAGGAGCGGAGGGAAACCAAGUUUUCUUGGCAAGGGUGCUGCAUGUAAGUGUGUUUGCCUGCGCUGUCUAUGCAAAUGCAGUUGCUGGUUUUGAGCGCCAUUCAUGCUGUGCUUCUUGCUCUGGAAAUCAGUGUCAGUCUGUAGCUCGGGAAAAGUAGCAGGAACCUUGUAGGCUGUUGCUGUGUGGGUGGAUGCAUCUGCCCAUACUCGUGCUAGGGCUCAUUGAUGACCUCAUGGUAUCACUGGCCCUGUCUUGAAACACGGAUCAAGGAGUCUAUUGAGUGUGCGGGUUGAAAGGUGGAUAAUUUGUUAGCACAAUGAAAAUGUUGGUUGGGAUGUGUGCACCAAUAACUGGUCAGCCAAGUGUGGGAUAUUUGGGUAUGAGUAUGUCUGUUAGGACCCGAAAGAUGGUGAACUAUGCCUGUGAAGGGUAACUUCAGGGGAAACUCUGGUGGAGGUCUGCAGUGAUACUGACGUGCAAAUUGUUCGUUAUACAUGGGUAUAGGAGCAAAAGACUAAUCGAAUCUUCUAGUAGCUGGUUCCUUCUGAAGUUUCCCUCAGGAUAGCUGGAGCGGAAGAGUUUCAUCGGGUAAAGCAAAUGAUUAGAGGAAGUGGGUGCUCCUUGCCCUCGACCUAUUCUCAAACUCUAAAUUGGUCAAGCCUAGACAUUACAUGUAUGAGCUUCUUGGGUGAGUGUCAGCUCUAAGUGGGCCGAUUUUGGUAAGCAGAACUGGUGAUGAGGAAUGAACCUGAUGUUUGGUUGAGGUGCCGCGUUGCUUGUUCAUCAGAUAUCAUAAAGGGUGUUGGUUCAUCUUAACAGCAGGAUAGUGGUCAUGGAAGUUGAAAUCUGCUAAGGAGUGUGUAAUAACUCACCUGCCGAAUGAAUUAGCCCUGAAAAUGGAUAGCACUCAAAUAGGUGACUGAUAUCCAACCAAUGUUGCAAUGAGCUUGCGCCAUUGAGUGGGGAGGCAUAGGGCUUGGUGCCAAAGCCUGAGGUGCAAACCUGGGUGAAACAGCUCUGAAUGCAGAUCUUGGUGGUAGUAGC